AGGGAGUCCCUCCCUCUAAAAGCACUCUGUGUGGGGAACAUGAGAGCCAGACCAAAGCUCAGAGGAACCCACCUGGACCUCCACCCAACUCUGUGUCCUUACAGAGUGACUGCUCUAAAGAUCAUCCCAUUAAUUUUAAAUCCCAGCAGGCAUAUGCUGCAGAGAGUCUGUUCCAGGAAGUACACCAGAUGUCCCAAAGAUAAGCGACAGCGAAGGCGAGCUGAGGGGAAGCACCUGGGUUCGAGCCGAAGACGAUGACUGUGUUCAAAGUUAACUGAACGUGUGUGGUUUUGCAUUGACGUAUGCUGUAUUAAAUCUGCCUAGCAACAGAAGAGGGGGCGGUACAAUUCUCACCUCUAUAAAGUCUUUGUUUUGACUUUUGUAAGACAGUUCAAUACUGAUUGGGUUGUUGAACUCACACAUGUGUAAUUCAUUAAAAUGCUGUCUAAUUGCA